rnacentral:rRNA from 1 species
CUGUCGUCAGCUCGUGUUGUGAAAUGUUGGGUUAAGUCCCGCAACGAGCGCAACCCUUAUCCUUUGUUGCCAGCGGUUCGGCCGGGAACUCAAAGGAGACUGCCAGUGAUAAACUGGAGGAAGGUGGGGAUGACGUCAAGUCAUCAUGGCCCUUACGAGUAGGGCUACACACGUGCUACAAUGGCAUAUACAAAGAGAAGCGACCUCGCGAGAGCAAGCGGACCUCAUAAAGUAUGUCGUAGUCCGGAUUGGAGUCUGCAACUCGACUCCAUGAAGUCGGAAUCGCUAGUAAUCGUGGAUCAGAAUGCCACGGUGAAUACGUUCCCGGGCCUUGUACACACCGCCCGUCACACCAUGGGAGUGGGUUGCAAAAGAAGUAGGUAGCUUAACCUUCGGGAGGGCGCUUACCACUUUGUGAUUCAUGACUGGGGUGAAGUCGUAACAAGGUAACCGUAGGGGAACCUGCGGUUGGAUCACCUCCUUA